GACGAACGCUGGCGGCGUGCUUAACACAUGCAAGUCGAACGGAGUGUCGAACGGGGGAGUAACACGUGGGUGAUCUGCCUUGCACUUCGGGAUAAGCUUGGGGAACUGGGUCUAAUACCGGAUAUUGCAAGAUGAGCUCGCGGCCGAUCCGCGUGUUGGUGGGGUAAUGGCCUACCAAGGCGUAGACGGGUAGCCGGCCUGAGAGGGUGUACGGUGUCAUUGGGCCUGAGAUAGGGCGCAGACUCCUACGGGGGGCAGCGGGGGGGAAUAUUGCACAAUGGUCGGAAGCCUGAUGCAGCGACGCCGGGUGGGUGAUGAAGGCUUUCGGGUUGUAAACUCCUUUCGACAGGGACGCGGUACCUGUAUAAGAAGCACCGGCUAACUACGUGCCAGCAGCCGCGGUAAUUC
rnacentral:rRNA from 1 species